rnacentral:rRNA from 1 species
CAGUAGCCGCGGUAAAACGUAGGGUGCAAGCGUUGUCCGGAAUUAUUGGGCGUAAAGAGCUCGUAGGCGGUUUCUUAAGUCUGAUGUGAAAGCCCCCGGCUCAACCGGGGAGGGUCAUUGGAAACUGGGAAACUUGAGAGCAGAAGAGGAGAGUGGAAUUCCACGUGUAGCGGUGAAAUGCGUAGAGAUGUGGAGGAACACCAGUGGCGAAGGCGACUCUCUGGUCUGUAACUGACGCUGAGGAGCGAAAGCGUGGGGAGCGAACAGGAUUAGAUACCCCGGUAGUCCCUGUCUCUUAUAC